rnacentral:rRNA from 1 species
UCUACAUCGUGGCGAGGAGCGGGGGUAAUACGGAGGUGCCAAGCCUUAUCCGGAGUUGCGGGGCGUAAGGAUUUGCGUAGGUGGUAUCUGAAGUCAGUAUUGAAAUCCUGGGGUGCAGCCCCUUACACAUUAUCGAAGCUGCGAAGCUAGAGGACGAGAGAGGUACCUGGAAUUCCUAGUGUAGGAGUGAAAUCCGUAGAUAUUAGGAGGAACACCGAUGGCGUAGACAGGGUACUGGCUUGUUCCUGACACUAAGGCACGAAAGCGUGGGGAGCAAACGGGAUUAGAUACUCCGGUAGUC